GAGGAAUAUUGGGCAAUGCCCGCAAGGGUGACCCAGCAACGCCGCGUGGAGGAUGAAUGUCGUAAGAUUGUAAACUCCUGUUAGAGGGGAAGAAUAGUACCGGUUGGACCGGUAUAUGACUGUACCCUCAGAGAAAGCCCCGGCUAACUACGUGCCAGCAGCCGCGGUAAUACGUAGGGGGCAAGCGUUGUCCGGAUUUACUGGGUGUAAAGGGCGCGCAGGCGGGAUAAAAAGUCAGUGGUGAAAUCCUACAGCUUAACUGUAGAACUGCCUUUGAUACUUUUAUUCUUGAGUUCGGGAGAGAGAGACGGAAUUCCAGGUGUAGUGGUGAAAUACGUAGAUAUCUGGAAGAACACCAGUUGCGAAGGCGGUCUCUUGGUCCGACACUGACGCUGAGGCGCGAAAGCGUGGGUAGCAAACA
rnacentral:rRNA from 1 species